CAUUUUCUGACCAUUUCCAUGAGUCUCCUCCCAUCAAAAUUUAUCUUUUUUAUAUCCUGACAUCAAUGAAAAGAGACAGGCCAAGUCCAGGCUUAGAAUGGGUUUAAUAUUUGAGAACCUAAUCUAUGUAUUUCUAUUCCAGUGAAUUUCAUUUAAACAAAUGGCUCUGAAACAUAUCACCUUAAUCUAAUUUAAUACACGUGAAAGACUAGAGAUUUGGACAGUGAAUCAAGAUGGUAUGUCUCAAAUUAAACUACAGAGAUGACUAUUACCCUUGUAUAUAUAGCCUGGCUUAUGCUAUGAUCUUCAAAAAUAGAAGUCUAACUUCGACUUUAGUUGGAAUCAUUUAUUAUUCAGAUGCCAUAGUUUGACAUUUUCUCCUGGACAUUAUAUUGUCUUACUCACCUUGACACUUAGCUAACUUUAAAUAUUUUAAAUAUCCUUGUAUUAAUAGUCUGGCUCUUGGAUAUGAGACAUUCUCAGUGUUUCAUCAUGAAGCAAUGAGCUUAAUGGCAAAUGCCCAUAAUCUACUAACAAAGGGCUCUAAUUUUUUAACAGCAGUAUUAUCUUCCUCCGUUUUCUGAAAUCAACUAAUUUAAAAGCCAUCAAUGAUGAUAUAGCAUCUUAUAUUCCCUUAGCAUCAAAGGGAAGUCAAGAGAGCAUAGUUCUACUUCCUAUUUUUUUUUUACCAACUCGUGGUAUAUCUUUGAGAAAAAUGACAUUAUUGCUCUGGGUCUUGUGAGCUGGAUUCAGUGAUUCUUGACAUUUUUUUGGAUUGCUGGGUCCUUUAGGAAUCAGAUGAAAACUGGUGCAUCUUUCUGUCACGAACACAGAUACGUACAACCUUCUGCAUGUUAUUAUCCUAGUUGUUCUACAUGGUGGUUAACAGGGCCAGUUCUGGCCCAAGUUUGAACUCUACCUUCACCACUUACUAGAUCUGUAACCUUGGGAAGGUCACUACCUCUGUCUAAAUUUCAGUUCCUUAUCCAUUAAAUGGGGAAAAUAAAACCUACUUCAUAGGGCUACUGCCACCUAAAAUAUAUGUAACAGGACUUAACUCAAUGUCUGGACCAUAGCAGGCACUGAAUAAAUGAGAGGUAAAAAAACUGACAAAGCUAAAAAAACCCCAAUCCAAACAACACACUAGAUUAAAUUAUUUCUAAAAUUUUACUCCAUGUAUUUUUUUUUUUUUGGUUUUUAACUUUGUUUUUUAGUACAGUUUUAGAUUUGCAGCAAAAUUGAGUGAAUGUACAGGCUGUUCCCAUAAACUCCCAUCCUCAUACAUGCCUUGCCUCUCCCACUAUCAACAUUCCCUGCCAGCAUGGUAUAGGUGUUGCAAUUAAUCAACAUACAUUGACACAUCAUUAGCGUUCAAAGUCCAUAGUUUACAGUAUGGUUCACUCUUGGUGUUGUACAUUCUAUGAAUCUUGACAAAUGCAUAAUGCCAUGCAUCCCAUUAUAGCAUCAUAGAGGGUAGUUUCACUGCCCUAAAAUUCCUCUUGUACUAUGCCUAUUAUCACUUCCUCCCUCCAGCCCCUGGUAACCAUCCACUUUUUUACUGUCAGUUUUGCCUUUUCCAGGGUCAGAUGGUUGAAAUCUGAAUAUAUACAUAGUGUGUAGUCUUUUCAAACUGGCUUCUUUCACUUGGUAACAGGCAUUCUUUUUCCAUGUCUGGACAUGGCUUGAUAGCUCAUUUCUUUCUAGUGCUGGAUAAUAUUCCAUCAUCUGAAUGUGCCUUAGUUUAUUUACCUAUUCGCCCACUAAAGGACAUCUCAGUUGCUUCUAUGAUUUGGCAAUUAUGAAUAAAACUAUUAUAAACAUCCAUGUGUAGUGUUUUGCUGUGGGCAUGUUUUCAACUCCUUUGGGUAAAGAUCAAGAAGAGCAAUGGCUGGAUUGCAUGAUAAGAAUAUAUUCUUUUUUUAAAAAACGAUUUUUUUUUUUUUUGUCUUUUUGCUAUUUCUUGGGCCGCUCCCGUGGCAUAUGGAGAUUCCCAGGCUAGGGGGCUAAUCGGAGCUGUAGGCACCAGUUUAUGCCAGAGCCACAGCAACGCGGGAUACGAGCUACAUCUGCAACCUACACCACAGCUCACGGCAAUGCCGGAUCGUUAACCCACUGAGCAAGGCCAGGGACUGAACCCGCAACCUCAUGGUUCCUAGUCGGAUUCGUUAACCACUGCACCACGACGGGAACUCCUAUUAUUUUCUGUUAUAGUUGGUUUAUAGUGUUCCAUCAAUUUUCUCCUGUAGAGCAGUGACCUAGUCAUACACACACACACACACACUCCUUUCAUACACACACACACACACACACUCCUUGUGCCAUUUGGAAUUCUUACCAGCAAUGAAUGAGAGUUCUUUUUGCUCCACAAACUCGCCAGAAUUUGGUGUUUUGUGUUCUGGGUUUAAGCCAUUCUAAUAAGUAUGUAGUGAUAUUUCAUUGCUGUUUUAAUUUGUAUUCUCCGGGGCCUCUUUUCAUGUGCUUAUUUGCUAUCUGUAUAUCUUCUUUGGUGAGAUAUCUGUUGAGGUCUUUGGCCUUGUUUUAAUUGAAAUCUUAUUAUUGGGUUUUAAGCUUUCUUUUCGUACUUUGGAUAACAGCCCUCUGUCAGAUGGGUCUUUUGCCAAUAUUGCCUCCCAGUCUGUGGCUUGUCUUUUCAUUCACUUGACAUCAUUUUUCGCAGAGCAGAAAGUUUUUAUUUUAGUGAAAUCCAGCUCAUCACCUCUUUCUUUCAUGGAUCAUAUCUUUGGUGUUUGACCUCACAAGUCAUUGCCAAGCCCAGGAUCAUCUGGAUUCUCUCCUCUGUUGCCUUCCAGGAGUUUUAUAGGUUUGCAUUUUACGUUCACAUUUGUGAUCCAUUUUGAGUUAAUUUUUCUGAAGAGCAAUCUGGGUCUGGAUUAAAUUUUUUUUUUGCAUUUGGAUGUUCAGUUGUUCAGUUGGUGUUUAAUUUUAUUUAUAAAUAAAUAACCUUUAUUUGGAGUUCCUCUGUAGUGCAACAGGAU
rnacentral:lncRNA from 1 species